UUGAUCCUGGCUCAGGAUGAACGCUAGCGGCAGGCUUAACACAUGCAAGUCGAGGGGCAGCGGGGAGGAAGCUUGCUUUCUCCGCCGGCGACCGGCGCACGGGUGAGUAACACGUAUGCAACCUGCCCCUGUCAGGGGGACAACCCGCCGAAAGGCGGGCUAAACCCGCGUACAUGCCACCGGGGCAUCCCGGAGGCAGGAAAGGCUUCGGCCGGACAGGGAUGGGCAUGCGGCGCAUUAGGCAGUAGGCGGGGUAACGGCCCACCUAACCGACGAUGCGUAGGGGUUCUGAGAGGAAGGUCCCCCACACUGGUACUGAGACACGGACCAGACUCCUACGGGAGGCAGCAGUGAGGAAUAUUGGUCAAUGGUCGGGAGACUGAACCAGCCAAGCCGCGUGAGGGAGGAAGGUACAGAGUAUCGUAAACCUCUUUUGUCAGGGAACAAAGACUGGGACGCGUCCCCGGAUGAGUGUACCUGAAGAAAAAGCAUCGGCUAACUCCGUGCCAGCAGCCGCGGUAAUACGGAGGAUGCGAGCGUUAUCCGGAUUUAUUGGGUUUAAAGGGUGCGCAGGCGGUCUGUUAAGUCAGCGGUCAAAGCCCGGGGCUCAACCCCGGUCCGCCGUUGAAACUGGCAGUCUCGAGUUGGAGAGAAGUAUGCGGAAUGCGCGGUGUAGCGGUGAAAUGCAUAGAUAUCGCGCAGAACUCCGAUUGCGAAGGCAGCAUGCCGGCUCCACACUGACGCUGAGGCACGAAAGCGUGGGUAUCGAACAGGAUUAGAUACCCUGGUAGUCCACGCAGUAAACGAUGAAUGCUGGCUGUCCGGGGGGACUGACCCCUGGGUGGCGAAGCGAAAGCGAUAAGCAUUCCACCUGGGGAGUACGCCGGCAACGGUGAAACUCAAAGGAAUUGACGGGGGCCCGCACAAGCGGAGGAACAUGUGGUUUAAUUCGAUGAUACGCGAGGAACCUUACCCGGGCUCAAACGGGGAGUGGCGCAGGCAGAGACGCCUGUUUCCCACGGGACACUCCCCGAGGUGCUGCAUGGUUGUCGUCAGCUCGUGCCGUGAGGUGUCGGCUUAAGUGCCAUAACGAGCGCAACCCCCGCGUGCAGUUGCUAACAGUCAACGCUGAGGACUCUGCACGGACUGCCGGCGCAAGCCGCGAGGAAGGCGGGGAUGACGUCAAAUCAGCACGGCCCUUACGUCCGGGGCGACACACGUGUUACAAUGGGUGGUACAGCGGGAAGCCAGGCGGCGACGCCGAGCGGAACCCGAAAUCCACUCUCAGUUCGGAUCGGAGUCUGCAACCCGACUCCGUGAAGCUGGAUUCGCUAGUAAUCGCGCAUCAGCCAUGGCGCGGUGAAUACGUUCCCGGGCCUUGCACACACCGCCCGUCA
rnacentral:rRNA from 1 species